CCUGGUGGCUCAGAGGGUAAAGCGUCUGCCUGCCAUGUGGAAGACCCAGGUUCGAUCCCUGGGUCAGGA
rnacentral:tRNA from 1 species